UACGAAGGGGGCUAGCGUUGUUCGGAAUUACUGGGCGUAAAGCGCACGUAGGCGGACUAUUAAGUCAGGGGUGAAAUCCCGGGGCUCAACCCCGGAACUGCCUUUGAUACUGGUAGUCUCGAGUCCGGAAGAGGUGAGUGGAAUUCCGAGUGUAGAGGUGAAAUUCGUAGAUAUCAGGAGGAACACCGGUGGCGAAAGCGGCUUCCUGGCCCGACAUUGACGUUCAUGUACGAGAGCGUGGGGAGCAAACAGG
rnacentral:rRNA from 1 species